UUCACAACAACCCAUGUAAAUAGAUAAAAGAGGAAAAGGUACAUAGUUGGCUUACACUCGCCACAUCACACAAAUACAUGAAUAACAUUACAUUCAUCCAAUACACUCAUGGUCCGACUACGGUACCAAAAUAAAAGAUCAACCCCAACAUGCGACACGGUCCCCGAUCGCCCCAACUGGGCACCACUACUGAUCAUCUGGGAAAGACACAUAGUAACGGCGAGAGUCUUCAUCGAACUCCCACUUGAGCUCAAGCGCAUCAUCUGGAACGGUAUCAUCGGUCCCUGCAUCUGGUUUGGAAGUAAUCUGUGAGUCACGGGGACUCAGCAAUCUCGCACCCUCGCGAUCAAGACUAUUUAAGCUUAUAGGUAAGGCAAGGUGAUAUGUGGAGCUGCAGCAAGCGACUAGCAUAUAUGGUGGCUAACCUGUUCGCAAAAGAGAGCGAGAAGAGAAGGCAAAGCACGAACGAAGAACUAUGAUCAAGAAGUGAUCCUAGAAUAACCUACGUCAAGCAUUACUCCAACACCAUGUUCACUUCCCGGACUCCGCCGAGAAGAGACCAUCACGGUUACACACGCGGUUGAUUCAUUUUAAUUAAGUUAAGUUUCAAGUUAUCUACAACCGGACAUUAACAAAUUCCCAUCUGCCCAUAACCGCAGGCACGGGUUUCGAAAGUUCAAAUCCCUGCAGGGGAGUCCCAACUUAGCCCAUCACAAGCUCUCACGGUCAACGAAGGAUAUUCCUUCUCCCGAGACAUUCCGAUCAGACUUGGCAUCUCGGUUUUACAAGACAUCCUCAACAAUGGUAAAACAAGUCCAGCAACACCGCCCGAAUGUGCCGACAAAUCCCGAUAGGAGCUGCACAUAUCUCGUUCUCAGGGCACACUCAGAUGAGACUAGCUACGAGUAAAACCAACCCUCAAGUUUCCCCGAGGUGGCCCCGCAGGCAGCUCAGUCGGACCAACACUCAGAGGAGCACUGGCCCAGGGGGGUUUAAAUAAGAUGACCCUCGGGCUCCGGAAACCCAAGGGAAAAAGAGGCUUGGUGGCAAAUGGUAAAACCAAGGUUGGGCAUUGCUGGAGGAGUUUUAUUCAAGGCGAACUAUCAAGGGGUUCCCAUUAUAACCCAACCACGUAAGGAACGCAAAAUCCGGGAACAUAACACUGAUAUGACGGAAAACUAGGGCGGCAAGAGUGGAACAAAACACUAGGCAAAAGGCCAAGACUUCCACCCUUUACCAAGUAUAUAGGUGCAUUAAGAUAAACAAGAUAAUAUGGUGAUAUCCCAACAAUAAACAAUGUUCCAAACAAGGAACGAUCUCCAAUCUUCACCUGCAACUAGCAACGCUAUAAGAGGGGCUGAGCAAAGCGGUAACAUAGUCAAUCAACGGUUUGCUAGGACAUGGUGGGUUAGAGGUUUGACAUGGAAAUUUGGGAGGCAUGAUAAGCAAGUAGUAGGCAUCGUAGCAUAGGCAUAGCAAAAGAGCGAGCAUCUAGCAAGCAAAGAUAGAAGUGAUUUCGAGGGUAUGAUGCCUGCAAAGUUGUCAGAGUUGACUUGAUCCUCGUAAGCGAACUCAACGGGCUCCUCGUUAGUGAAAUCGUCUCCCGGCUCUACCCAAACAAGACAAACAAGCAAAAGGAACACGAUCAACCACGUGCGAAGCUCAAACAACCUGAUGCAAACAUGGUAUGCUAUGCGGGAUGCGAUAUGUGAUGCAUAUGCAAGAUUUGAUAAGCAAUGAUUAAACCUGGCCUCAACAUGGAAAUCCAAGAGUGCCACUGGAAAGGUGAGGUGAUUUCGGUUGAAAUCGAUAUAAAGAUCACCGGAAUCGGAUGCACGGUUUGGAAAUGGCAAGCAAAACAAAUAUGGCACCGGUCUGCGAUAAACAGCAAGUGACCAACUAAAUGCAUCAAGAUAAAUAUGCUACAGCACUCAAACGUGACAACAACAUGCAUGGCAGGGAUCCACUCAUGAUGCUUGACAAAAGAUGAACACUGAGAUACGGCUAAUUCAUCCAUUAACAGGUUCAAACAAGCAUGGCAAAAGUGCAAAUGAUAACAGGUUUCAGACUUAGUGAAAUUAACACAAGUUUGGAAUUUAACAUCAGGAAGCACACUUUAGAGCAUGAAAACUACAUGCUACAGGAACUUAACAUGGCAAAGCAAGGCAUGACAUGAAGCUACUCAAAGCACUUAACAAAAGUCCCUUACAGACCUUGAGCCAAAAGGGAUCAGAAAAUAUCAUUGCAAGAAUGUGAACAUGGCAAAAACAUAAACAGAUCUCAGACUUAGUGAAAUUCCAGGACAUGACAAAAACAGAUUCAACAUGGCAUCUUUUACAAGCUUGAUUAACUCACUACAAGGCAUGUCAUGGCAUGGGACAAGUUCUAGCAUGAAGUAUACAUGAAAAUGAAGCUAACCAUGUGCCAAACCACCUCAUAGCAUGUUUGAAAAAAAUCACACAAAAAUGCCAAAACAACAUCAUGAUGUAAAAUGACAUGCUUAUGAACUUGCUCAAAUGCAGAAACUAAUGCCACCACUGGGUUGGUGGGAUUUUUCUACCCCAAAAACAUAUAUAAUAUGUUGGGGUUGCUGUAGAAAAAUCACCACAAAUGCAAUAAGUCAAACACUGCCUAAAAAGGUAGCUGACAGAAAUGGCAUUUUCCUUAUUUGGAAACGUCCAGAAAUGGACUUGCCUGAACUGGAAUAAGGUAUGUUUCCCAAAAUGGAAAGCGCUGGAAUAAAGAAAAAAAUAAAAGAAAUAAGAGGAGGGGGUGAGGACGACAUGUGGUGCCUUGAGGAGUGUUAGUAUGGCAGGUGGGGCCUUGCUGUCAUACUCACGCAUAAUGCAAAAAAAAGGGGGGUUUUAAACCGCACCAGGGGAGGAUCGAACCCAGGUUUCCUUGGAGUUAGAGCGUGGCCUUUGCCACUGGGCCAGGCGCUCAAAGUUGGAAUAACGAAGACCGGACAUCUUAUGUACUAGCACGAGGUCUGGCUAGUCUCCUCUACGCGUACAGAAAAGAAAACGACGACGAUGCCGGCGAGCGAGGCGGCCUUAUCCGGCGAGGUGGUGUGCCGGCGGGGGUGCGGACACGGAGGGGUGUUUAGCGCGUGCAUGCGGAGCUGCUGCGAGAGUGCGCGCGUUGGGUUCAACUCGAGCACGAGCUCAUGGCGAGCUUGGCUUGGUACCGCCGGUGCAGAGGCUGAGUGAGCGACCUCUGAAGCUGGCGAGGUGAGGCGAGGCGAGCGGGCUGCGAGCGUGCACACAGGCAAGCGUGGCGAGGAGAACGCAACUAGGUGGGAACCGGAGCACGGGGACGCGCGGGCGCGCUGCAGCAAGUACACACAACAAAACUGCAGACCUCGCGCGGAGCACUGUGAGCACAGCAAAGACACGGAUCGAUCGAGCCUCACGGGGUCCUAUAUGCCAUGGAAAGAAAAGGGAGAGGUUGGUGCGUUACCCAGCUCACCC
rnacentral:lncRNA from 1 species